UAUGUACAAGGUUUUAUAUUAAAUAUAGUGCUAUGAAUAUUAAUGUGUGUUUAUAUAGAUGAGCCGUUAAUUGUGGUUAUGUCCGAACAACACAAUGCACAGUAAUGAGCUGUGUCUGUAAAAUAGCCCAAACCUACCUUCAGUUUCAGGCGGCGUUGUGUGUUGCGCUAGAUGGAGCUUGACUGCCCUCGUGUGGCCAAACUCGGGAACGGCGAUUUUCUAGAAGCGGAUUUCUGGGCAAGAACUGUUGCAUGAUAUUAUUAUUAUUAAUCUCUCUCUUCCCUUUUGUCCCGUCCAUGAUAAUUAUUGUUGUUAUUUAACAAUUGUAGACAUGAGCUCAUGUUAAAAUGAAUAAAUAGGGAAUAAAAUGGUAAUAACCAUAUAUAUUCUCGAGCGAAAUAGACGAGGCCACCUAGGGAACACAUGAAGUUAUGUAGGAGCAGUGAUGAGAAUGAAAUGACUAAUAAUAUUAAGAAAGACAUUAAUAAUGUUAAUAUUAGCAAUUAAUUUGUGUAAUUUAUUAUGAUAACUAUACUGCUAUGUACAUGAUAUAAUGUUGAUAUGUUUUAAAUGUGUGUUGUGUUCUGUCCUUAUACCGUGUCUAGGUCAGUCUCCCUGGCGUGCGCGCACAGACAUAUAGUCAAAUCCGAGCAGCGAGCCAUAAGAUCUGUUAUGACGUCACGUUCAGAGUUCUAUAAGUUUCCUGAUGGCGGCGUUGUGCUGGAUGGAGCUUGACUGCCCUCGUGUGUCCAAACUCAGGAACGGCAGUUUCCCUGAAGCGGUAUUCUGUUCCAAGUUUGUGGUAGUUAGCCAAGAAAUAUUACAUGAUUACCAUUACUCUCUCUCUCCCCUUUUUAAAACCUGUUCACGAUAAUUAUUGUAUACAUUACCUUUAUUUUUGUAAUCUUCUCCCAUAUUUGUGGAUAUUCUCGAGUGAAAUAGACGAGGCCAUGUAGGGAACACAUGAAGUUACCUAGGAGCAGAGUCUAAAAUAUCUUUUUGAGGGACCUCAAACUAUUAUCAUUUGCUAUACUAUUGAUCAUUACAUUACGUACAUCUUAUUCGUAUAUGGAAAGUACUUAAUGAAGAUAAUAUACUUUAGAUUUUUUUAUGUAACCAUUUAAGUAUUUGUUGAAAUGCUUUUGUUACUGAUAAAUACAUGUACAUUUAAAUUGAUUUUGUUCUGUCUGUGAUUUUGUAGAUCUGGAUGUUCAGCUGGUCUCAGAUCAAGCAUCCUCCUCUGUAUUGACUCCACUAUCCCCAGCUUCAUCCCAUUCAUCAGAUUCCACAAUUGUCCUGGAGUCCAGAAGAAAGAGAAGGAACCCAACAGUUAAUGGAGCAGAAUGAAGCAAGACAGAAAGUUGAUUGUGUUCUGAGGGUCAAUCCAAAGGGUGAGGAAAUCUUCAAGGAGUAUGAAAAGACCAAAACACUAACAUGUCUGCAACCAGGACGUUCACCAUCUGUUUACGUGUGGCAUAUGUUAGAGCUACAUGGGAGGAUUCCAUGGUCAAGUGUGAGGACCAAUUAUGCACUGGGAAUUGUGACUCUUUUUCCAUACCUCCAAGAUCCUUUCUCCAAACAUGGAUAUGAACACUACUAUGAUCCUUUAGGGUAAUACUGGCUUCAUUGCAUGGAGGAUCAAGACAGUUCAACAUAACACCUGUGCUGGCUCCCGGUGUCAUUCCAAGACUGUUCUUCAGGAUGGUCCAAAAAACAGACAAGAAUCUCUGUUAACUUGUCAACAGCGAUUUGGUGAGGAGUGCAGGGAGGCGAUAUCUACAAUACGAUAUUCCACUGAUGAGAAGAUGAGCGACUUUCCAGUAUUGACAGAAGAUGGUGGGUGAGGAUGCAUCAUCUUCUGUCCUGGAUUUGUUCACUUGUUUCCUUGCUGUAUCUGGAUUGAUCGACCACGAUUUCUCCAUGAUGUUUGGUGACGAAGUGUCUCAGAAGUUCCUGGCAAAGUGGUCAACAUUCUUCAAGCCAAAAAUCAUUGCAGACUGCAAGACUCUUAAGAAUAUGGGCGAGCUGCUGUCAGGAACUGAACCUGAAUCUGAGGACUACAAUGGAUGGGACAGCGAUAUGUCCUCAAUCCUUUUGCAGCUGCAUCUGCUCCCUCUAACCUCAAGAGGCCAGAAAAAAAAUAUCCAAGAUCAGUUCAGCUCAAGCAACCAGCCAUCUUGUGAGCUACCUUAAGGAAGGAGCCAGUGUGACUACCUUCAUUGAGAGUGCUGACACAAGACAACCAUUUCUCCUCUGCAUCGGUGAGCGAAAGAAGGAUAUCCAAAAGUUCUACAUUAUUAUCGACCAAAAGGCGAUCCCAUGUAAGGCGCACACAUCAGUGGCAGCUUUUGAUGAACUGUUCAAAGCUCACUAUGUCUUCAGUUUCUGAUAUGAUGAAGCUCUUUGUGAUUUCUACACAUUUAUCCAAACCACUAUAUAUAACAUCGAUGUCGGAAGAGCAAUGGAGAGCCUGCGUGUUAAAGAACUUUGAGCAUGAUUGCUGCAGCGAGAUUAACUGCCUUGAAGAUGUUCACAUGUUUUGUAUGUAAAGCACACCUCAGAACUUGUUUGGUUCUUCGUCAACAUUUAAAAUUUCAACAUGGUUUAUAUCCUAGCAAAAAGUUACAUUUAAAAUGUGGAGAGCCAGGUCGCCUGUUAUCAUUUUGUACUUAUAGUGGCUUCCGAAAACACCUCAGCAAGGUACAUAGUCACACUAUGGAUCAGGAGUUUGAUACUAAUCAGGAUCUUUCCACUCAGGGAGAAUAUGAGGCGGAAUGUUCAAAUGAUCGCCCAAGUUUACAAAGUUGGAGUUUACAAAGACAUUAAUGAUGGGUCGUGUUUCCAAAACCAUGCACUGUUCUCACAGCAAAAGCACGCUUUUCAGAUUCUAUUCUAUUACAACGAUUUUGAAACUGCUAACCCUCUAGGUUCCAAGAGGGGGAUCCACAAACUUGGUUGAAUCUAUUUUACUCUAAAAAAUCUUCCACGCAAGUGUAACUCUGUACUGAUUAAUGUACAUCUUGCAGCUUGAUUCUACACGGAAGAUCUUAAGACAUAUGGUUUUGAUGUGAUAAUAAAGCCCCUUAUUGAUGACCUGAAAAUCUUAGAAACCGAAGGCAUACAGCUUCCUUGUUUUGAACAACCAUUGUUUGGCUCAGUAAUUCAAGUAACAGGAAAUAAUUUGGCUUUAAAUGGCUUGCUGGGAAUCUUACAGUGCAACUAAUUUCUGUAGGCUUUGUUUAAUUAGUAAGGAAGAAGUUCAAUCUAUAUUUACUGGAGAUCAUCCUGGGUUAAUUUUUCGUUCCAAAGAGGUUCAUACUGAACAUUGUAAGGCACUAAAUGAAAAUCCUGAACUGCGGUCAAUAUAUGGUGUCAAAAAGUCAUGUGCGCUCAAUUCAUUAGAGUAUUUCCAUUGUACUGAUAACUAUGCUGUUGACAUCAUGCAUGAUCUGCUAGAGGGUGUGGUACAGUAUGAACUUAAACUGGUUUUUGAGUACCUUGUUAAACAGGGUGCACAGCUUUAAUUAUGGUUACACAGACCGUAAAAACAAACCAAGUGGGUUAAAAAUGGAUGAUAAGGGCAAACACCUGGGUUUGAAUGCCAUACAGUCAUGGUGUCUUCUGCACAACACUCCACUGAUAUUUGGUGGUCAUUGAAAGGAAUAACAAUCACUGGAACUUUCUCCUGCUUUUGAUACAGAUUGUCAAUAUAGUGUUCUCCUACACCAUAACUGAUGGGAUGAUAUGUUACUUAAAACAUCUGAUCUGUGAUCACCAUACUCUAUUCAAAGAAUUGAUUCCUGACAAGACGUCGAUUCCCAAGCACCACUUGAUGAUGCACUAUCUGAGAUGCAUAAAAAAAAAUGGCCCUCUUAUCCAUAUGUGGUGAAUGCGAUUUGAAGCUAAGCACCAUAUUUUCAAAAGAUGUGGCAAAAAUUUAAAGAAUCUCAUUAAAUCAUUAGUAAAGCAACAUCAACGUCAAUUGGCAUUUAACUGUGAAAAUGAUUGUUUUAGAAGGUUUGAAUUUGGUCCUACAUCAAAAACCAUCUGUAACUUGCAAGGUGGGGAAGAACUCAGUCAGACAUUAUAUUUAGAAGCCUGUUUGAGUGUUACAAGUACAAAGUGGGUCAGACAUUAUGGUACUGAGUAUCAGGUUGGUGUGUUCAUAUGCACUGGAUGUACUCAUUAAUAACGAAUAAUAAACAUUUCUAUAUGUUGAUAGAAAUAUAAAGCAUUUAUAUAUAUAUGUAUGUGUGUGUGUCCCCUUCUCUUAUCUAAAUAUUCAAACAGCCCAAGAAAUAAAAUUAGCUAUUUUCUGAGACGAUGAAGUGACUCUUAAAAGAGCCUUUGUGUAUAUUAGACGGAGUUGUCGUUUAAGUGCAUUCUCCGCGAAUACGGCAGGCCAGCUGAAUAUCCUUGAGAGAGAUGGAGAAAUGUGAAAAGCUAGCACUGUGGCUACGUGUUUCGCAACCAUGAGCUGUAUUUCAACGCUUUUUGGCCACAGCAUGCUGCCUCACAAACGUCCCAAUUCAUGCCCCCCUUUUCCACAGUCGUUGUGUAUAUCCAGGUAAGGAUAAAAGUUACAUUUCCAUCCAUCCAUCUUCUAUACCGCGUAAUCCUUCUCAGGGUCACGGGUAAAAGCUACAUUUUCCAAAGAAAUUUAACUCGCUGAGA